rnacentral:rRNA from 1 species
CAGUAGCCACGGUAAUACGAAGGGUGCAAGCGUUAAUCGGAAUUACUGGGCGUAAAGCGUGCGUAGGCGGUGAGUUAAGUCUGCUGUGAAAUCCCCGGGCUCAACCUGGGAAUGGCAGUGGAUACUGGCUCGCUAGAGUGUGUCAGAGGAUGGUGGAAUUCCCGGUGUAGCGGUGAAAUGCGUAGAGAUCGGGAGGAACAUCAGUGGCGAAGGCGGCCAUCUGGGACAACACUGACGCUGAGGCACGAAAGCGUGGGGAGCAAACAGGAUUAGAACCCCGGUAGUCCCUGUCUCUUAUACA